rnacentral:rRNA from 1 species
AUUGAACGCUGGCGGCAUGCCUUACACAUGCAAGUCGAACGGUAACGCGGGGCAACCUGGCGACGAGUGGCGAACGGGUGAGUAAUGUAUCGGAACGUGCCCAGCUGUGGGGGAUAACUGCUCGAAAGAGCAGCUAAUACCGCAUACGACCUGAGGGUGAAAGCGGGGGAUCGCAAGACCUCGCGCAAUUGGAGCGGCCGAUAUCAGAGUAGGUAGUUGGGGGGGUAAAGGCCCACCAAGCCAACGAUCUGUAGCUCGUCUGAGAGGCCGACCAGCCACACUGGGACUGAGACACGGCCCAAACUCCUACGGGAGGCAGCAGGGGGGAAUCUUGGACAAUGGACGCAAGUCUGAUCCAGCCAUGCCGCGUGCGGGAAGAAGGCCUUCGGGUUGUAAACCGCUUUUGUCAGGGAAGAAAAGGGCGACUCUAAUACAGUUGCCUCAUGACGGUACCUGAAGAAUAAGCACCGGCUAACUACGUGCCAGCAGCCGCCGUAAGAC